rnacentral:rRNA from 1 species
GACGAACGCUGGCGGCGUGCUUAACACAUGCAAGUCGAACGGAAAGGCCCUGCUUUUGUGGGGUUCUCGGGUGGCGAACGGGUGAGUAACACGUGAAUAACCUGCCCUUCACUUUGGGGUAACUUCAGGAAACUGGGCCUACUCCCGUAUAGCAUCCCCCCUUCCGUUGUGGGGGUUGGAAAUUUUCAGCGUGUGGGGUUGGAUUCGCGGCUUAUCGGCUUGUUGGUUGGGUAGUUGCUUACCCAGGCUGUGACGGGUAGCCGGCAGGGGAGGGUGAACGGCCACAAUGGGACUGAGAUACGGACCAGACUCCAAUGGGAGGCAGCAGUGGGGAAUAUGGCACAAUGGGAGGAAGUCUGAUGCAGCAACGCCGCGUGUGGGAUGACGGCCUUCGGGUUGAAAAAAGCAGUCGCCUGUGACGAAGCGUGAGUGACGGUAAUGGGUAAAGAAGCACCGGCUAACUACGUG